AUGAGGUUUGCCUUCUCAAGAGAAUGAAAAACGUUUCCUUGUGUAUCACACGUUUGGUCGCUAGACCACUAAGCUUAAUUGAUUAAAAUGAGCGGGAAUACUUCCUCUUUUGGAAAAAUUCUUUUCUUCUUUGGAUUUGGAGCAAAAAUCGUUGACCACUUGUUACAUACCAUCAAAGGAAAUUAUCACGAAUAAUCUUCAAUCCUUUAAUAUGUACAUUUAAUCCAUGCACGCGGACAAGGCGGAGGUUUAAUGAAGAAAUAUUGUAGUUUUUAAUAGACUUUUGUAAACAUAUCCAAUAGUUAAUGGAUGAAAUUUGAUGGAAAAUAAUGAAACAUUUAUAUUAGUACGUUAUAUUUGUAUAGAACUGAAAGAUUAAUCAUUUGUCUAUACGAGCUACUUUAUCCUGGAUAAUCAUUUAUCAGAGUUUACAACAUCGCAUAAAUUAUCCUCGGUAAGAAACCAAAUCAUAACUCGGACGUUUUUGCGCUUAAUUUUCAUCUCAAAUGUUCACUCAAUGUUCAGACACAUUAAUGUUUCUUCAAUUUAAUAUUAGUGUGGAAUUUGUGAAACUGUACCGCUAAUACCAUUUAACGGUGCAGUAGUAAAUGACGUAGGAAAUACUGAAUUUCAAAGAUUUUACCGGUAUAUGUUAUCGGAAAAUCGACGUUUUGAACUUUUCUGACGAACUACACACAUUGCCCUUAUUUAUAAAUUCAAACAGAAAGUAAUUUCUUCUUUGAUUGCUCUCAUCGUUAGAUGGCGCUAAUUGUAUCUUUUUCGUGAUAUGCGUUGAUUAAAUAAAAAUUAUAUUAUGGUAAAAUGAUUGUUUGCGUUCAAACGCUUUCAAAGAGAAAAUAAAUUUAAGAACAUUGAUUCGGAAGAACGACUUUAUUUGUUAAUAAAAAGUUCUUCAUUCACUUGAUACAUUUAAUCACCCUAACUAGAAGGAUGUUAUAAGUACAAACAUCUAUCUGAAAUUGAUACAUAUUCCAAUUCCUGUACUUAUUCGCAAGUUUCAUCGUUACUUUUUAAAAAUGCAUUUUCAUCUAAAAGUCUGGUUUAAAUAUGAAGUAUCGGUAAUUGUACAUAAUAGUGCUGACAAUACAUGAAAUUUCACAACAUGACAAUUCUAUCAGCUUCAGUUCGUUCUUGAUAACAUAAUUGUCAGCACUAUUGAAUAACUAAUCAAAUCCUCCUUAUUUCUUUAGCACGAAUACAAGCCUACCGUAAUCUAAGCCGCUAAAAGUACUUAGUCAAAAAAUAGUCGAAAAAUGUAUCGUGGAAAAAUGAAUAAAUUUGUAUAAUUAAAUACGGAGGAGUUCGUUAAUUGUUCGCGAGUAAUUAUUAUUUUUUUUUUUAGAAUACACAAUCUAAAAAUCUUUCAUAGUUCAGACCGCUCUGCUUGGUAUUCAAGUUUGUUAGUUAACGAGUCAUCUAUUUGACGUAUAAAAAUGACACUUCUAUUACUUUCAUCUAACCGAGAAGAAUUAUAAUGAGCUUGAAAAAAUGUUGCUAAUAAACGUAAGUUCGAUUAUAAUUCUGAUCGGAUUAUUAUGAGUAUAUUUAUUAUUUAAUUUAAAUAUGAACUAAACUGCGAACAAUUAAAGAAGUCCACGUUGCAUUACAAAUUUAUUAUUCAAUAUUAGUCGCAAUAGUAUUAACAAUAGUACCAGUGGAUCUUCAGGUAUGUACAUAUAAAAUAUUUGAUGAAAAAAUCAUGAACUAAACACGAUGAUUACGUAAAACAUAUAAAAGAAAAGAAGUGAAAACAAAAAUAUAAUGAACGAAUAUUUUUUGUGAGUUUUAUUUAUAAAAUAGAAAUUAAUGUACAAGUACAAGGGGAAUAGACAUGAUUGUUGUUUCUUUCUCUCGUGCUAACUUUUACAAUAUGAUACUUUAUGAUGAAUUUUUGUCAUAUGUAAUUUAUAGUGACAUCACUUAGGAAAAUGGUGUACAGUAUUGCCUCGAAAUAAGCAACAGCUUCGAGCUUCGACAUUAGCGAAUUUCUAUCCCCACUUCUUUAAUUGAAGUCGGCUGCUGAGUGAGAAAUCAGAAGCUAAUCAUUUUUGACCGAUAAGAAGACAGAACAUGUAUAUUGUUUUCUAACUCUAACACACAGUGAUUCAAAAAGCAAAAGCAAGCCGAAUAGCAUACCACCUUCGAAAUGAGCAACUGCCCGGAACGUAUUGCUUAUUUCGAGGCAAUACUGUAUGAUCUAAACGGUGCAUGAAGGGAAGCAUGUAAAAAGAAUGAACAAAAU